CCCCUGCAUUCAGUUGCCGAUCGGGUAAUGCCGGGCACUCUGGAAGGACUGCCAUCGACAAGAUGGAGGAAGGUGGGGAGUGACGUCAAGUCAUCAUGGCCCUUAUGUCCAGGGCGACACACGUGCUACAAUGGCCGGCACAACGGGAAGCGAGUUCGCGAGGACGAGCGGAUCCCUCAAAGCCGGUCGCAGUUCGGAUUGAAGUCUGCAACUCGACUUCAUGAAGCUGGAAUCGCUAGUAAUCGUGGAUCAGCCAAGCCGCGGUGAAUACGUUCCCGGGCCUU
rnacentral:rRNA from 1 species